UACGUAGGGUGCAAGCGUUGUCCGGAAUUACUGGGCGUAAAGCGAGUGUAGGCGGUUUGAUAAGUCGGGUGUGAAAGCCCUGGGCUCAACCCAGGAAGUGCACUCGAUACUGUCAGGCUAGAGUAUCGGAGAGGUUGGUGGAAUUCUCGGUGUAGAGGUGAAAUUCGUAGAUAUCGAGAGGAACACCAGUGGCGAAAGCGGCGCUCUGGGCCUAAACUGACGCUGAGGGGCGAAAGCGUGGGGAGCGAACGGG
rnacentral:rRNA from 1 species